CUGAGUAAAGUGGCGACCGGGUGAGUAACACGUGACUACCUGCCCUUGAGUGGGGGAUAACCUCGGGAAACCGAGGCUAAUACCGCAUAAUAUCGCAAGAUCAAAGGAGCAAUCCGCUUUUGGAGGGGGUCGCGGCUGAUUAGCUAGUUGGUAAGGUAAUGGCUUACCAAGGCGAAGAUCGGUAUCCGGCCUGAGAGGGCGCACGGACACACUGGAACUGAAACACGGUCCAGACUCCUACGGGAGGCAGCAGUGGGGAAUUUUGCGCAAUGGGGGAAACCCUGACGCAGCAACGCCGCGUGGAGGAUGAAGCCCCUUGGGGCGUAAACUCCUUUCGACCGGGAAAAUUAUGAUGGUACCGGUGGAAGAAGCACCGGCUAACUCUGUGCCAGCAGCCGCGGUAAUACAGAGGGUGCGAGCGUUGUUCGGAAUUAUUGGGCGUAAAGGGCG
rnacentral:rRNA from 1 species